rnacentral:rRNA from 1 species
GACGAACGCUUUCUUCUUCCUUAACAUCUGCAAGUCGAACGGAAAGGCCUGCUUUCCCUUGUGGAUUGCGGGUACUCGAGUGGCGAACGGGUGAGUAACACGUGAGUUAUCUGCCCCCAACUUGGGUAUAAGCCUGGGAAACUGGGUCUAAUUCCCGAUAGGACUGCAGGGUGGUGCCUGUGGUGGAAAACGAUUUUCUAGUGGUUGGGGAUGAGCUCGCGGCCUAUCAGCUUGUUGGUGGGGUACUGGCCUCCCAAGGCGGCGACGGGUAGCCGGCCUGAGAGGGUGGACGGCCACAUUGGGACUGAGAUACGGCCCAGACUCCUACGGGAGGCAGGAGUGGGGAAUAUUGCACAAUGGGCGGAAGCCUGAUGCAGCGACGCCGCGUGGGGGAUGACGGCCUUCGGGUUGUAAAAUCCUUUCGACCGCGAGGAAGCCACCUGGUUGGAAGGGUGGUGACGGUAGUGGUAGAAGAAGCAAAGGCUAACUACGUG